rnacentral:lncRNA from 14 species
CCUGUAGGACCCUUGGCCCCAUGUUCAAUGGCUAAUACUUAAACUUCCAUAUGUGCACAGAUCUGAGAGCCUCUCCCCCAGGAAAAUAAGUGGAUAUAGAGCUGGACAAAAGCUGGGAGACUUUGCUGUGAUGAAGUACACGGCACAGCCAUGCAUGUGUACUGACCAGACACCUGCUUACCUGCAAUAUCUAGUGCUGAUUCACAUGAUGAGCCUGGAGUCCCAGUCCUGCAUGUUUUACACACAACUUCCUAUGACAUCAUUAAGUCAUUAG